rnacentral:rRNA from 1 species
CGUAGGGUGCGAGCGUUAAUCGGAAUUACUGGGCGUAAAGUGUGCGCAGGUGGCCGCGCAAGUCGAGUGUGAAAUCCCCGAGCUUAACUUGGGAAUUGCGCUCGAAACUACGUGGCUCGAGUGUGGCAGAGGAAGGUGGAAUUCCACGUGUAGCGGUGAAAUGCGUAGAGAUGUGGAGGAACACCGAUGGCGAAGGCAGCCUUCUGGGCCAACACUGACGCUCAUGCACGAAAGCGUGGGGAGCAAACAGGAUUAGAUACCCUGGUAGUCCACGCCCUAAACGAUGAUGACUAGGUUGUUGGGGGAGUUAAAUCCCUUAGUAACGCAGCUAACGCGUGAAGUCAUCCGCCUGGGGAGUACGGUCGCAAGAUUA